rnacentral:rRNA from 1 species
CGAUACGAGUUUGAUCAUGGCUCAGAACGAACGCUGGCGGCAGGCCUAACACAUGCAAGUCGAGCGCGCCCUUCGGGGUGAGCGGCGGACGGGUGAGUAACGCGUGGGAACGUGCCCUUUGCUACGGAAUAGUCUCGGGAAACUGGGGGUAAUACCGUAUGUGCCCUUCGGGGGAAGAUUUAUCGGCAAAGGAUCGGCCCGCGUUGGAUUAGGUAGUUGGUGGGGUAAUGGCCCACCAAGCCGACGAUCCAUAGCUGGUUUGAGAGGAUGAUCAGCCACACUGGGACUGAGACACGGCCCAGACUCCUACGGGAGGCAGCAGUGGGGGAAUCUUAGACAAUGGGCGCAAGCCUGAUCUAGCCAUGCCGCGUGAGCGAUGAAGGCCUUAGGGUUGUAAAGCUCUUUCGUGGGGGAAGAUAAUGACUGUACCCCAAGAAGAAGCCCCGGCUAACUCCGUG